UGGGGAAUAUUGCACAAUGGGGGAAACCCUGAUGCAGCGACGCCGCGUGAACGAAGAAGGUAUUCGUAUCGUAAAGUUCUGUCCUAUGGGAAGAUAAUGACAGUACCAUAGAAGAAAGCUCCGGCUAAAUACGUGCCAGCAGCCGCGGUAAUACGUAUGGAGCGAGCGUUGUCCGGAAUUAUUGGGCGUAAAGGGUACGCAGGCGGUUUAAUAAGUCGAAUGUUAAAGAUCGGGGCUCAACCCCGUAAAGCAUUGGAAACUGAUAAACUUGAGUAGGGGAGAGGAAAGUGGAAUUCCUAGUGUAGUGGUGAAAUACGUAGAUAUUAGGAGGAAUACCAGUAGCGAAGGCGACUUUCUGGACACAAACUGACGCUGAGGUACGAAAGCGUGGGGAGCAAACAGG
rnacentral:rRNA from 2 species